rnacentral:rRNA from 1 species
AUUGAACGCUGGCGGCAGGCCUAACACAUGCAAGUCGAGCGGAUGAAGGGAGCUUGCUCCUGGAUUCAGCGGCGGACGGGUGAGUAAUGCCUAGGAAUCUGCCUGGUAGUGGGGGAUAACGUCCGGAAACGGGCGCUAAUACCGCAUACGUCCUGAGGGAGAAAGUGGGGGAUCUUCGGACCUCACGCUAUCAGAUGAGCCUAGGUCGGAUUAGCUAGUUGGUGGGGUAAAGGCCUACCAAGGCGACGAUCCGUAACUGGUCUGAGAGGAGGAUCAGUCACACUGGAACUGAGACACGGUCCAGACUCCUACGGGAGGCAGCAGUGGGGAAUAUUGGACAAGUGGCGAAAGCCUGAUCCAGCCAUGCCGCGUGUGUGAAGAAGGUCUUCGGAUUGUAAAGAACUUUAAGUUGGGAGGAAGGGCAGUAAGUUAAUACCUUGCUGUUUUGACGUUACCAACAGAAUAAGCACCGGCUAACUUCGUG